AGCGAGACCUUCGGGUCUAGCGGCGGACGGGUUAGUAACGCGUGGGAAUGUACCCUUCACUGCGGAAUAGCCACUGGAAACGGUGAGUAAUACCGCAUACGCCCUUCGGGGGAAAGAUUUAUCGGUGAAGGAUCAGCCCGCGUCUGAUUAGAUAGUUGGUGGGGUAACGGCCUACCAAGUCGACGAUCAGUAGCUGGUUUUAGAGGAUGAUCAGCAACACUGGGACUGAGACACGGCCCAGACUCCUACGGGAGGCAGCAGUGGGGAAUCUUAGACAAUGGGCGCAAGCCUGAUCUAGCCAUGCCGCGUGUGUGAUGAAGGCCCUAGGGUCGUAAAGCACUUUCGCCAGGGAUGAUAAUGACAGUACCUGGUAAAGAAACCCCGGCUAACUCCGUGCCAGCAGCCGCGGUAAUACGGAGGGGGUUAGCGUUGUUCGGAAUUACUGGGCGUAAAGCGCACGUAGGCGGACUAUUAAGUCAGGGGUGAAAUCCCGGGGCUCAACCCCGGAACUGCCCUUGAUACUGGUAGUCUUGAGUUCGAGAGAGGUGAGUGGAAUUCCGAGUGUAGAGGUGAAAUUCGUAGAUAUUCGGAGGAACACCAGUGGCGAAGGCGGCUCACUGGCUCGAUACUGACGCUGAGGUGCGAAAGUGUGGGGAGCAAACAGGAUUA
rnacentral:rRNA from 1 species